rnacentral:rRNA from 1 species
UACGUAGGGUGCAAGCGUUAAUCGGAAUUACUGGGCGUAAAGCGUGCGCAGGCGGUGAUGUAAGACAGAUGUGAAAUCCCCGGGCUCAACCCGGGAACUGCAUUUGUGACUGCAUCGCUGGAGUGCGGCAGAGGGGGAUGGAAUUCCGCGUGUAGCAGUGAAAUGCGUAGAUAUGCGGAGGAACACCGAUGGCGAAGGCAAUCCCCUGGGCCUGCACUGACGCUCAUGCACGAAAGCGUGGGGAGCAAACAGG